rnacentral:rRNA from 1 species
UUGAACGCUGGCGGCAGGCCUAACACAUGCAAGUCGAACGGUAACAGAAAGCAGCUUGCUGCUUUGCUGACGAGUGGCGGACGGGUGAGUAAUGUCUGGGAAACUGCCCGAUGGAGGGGGAUAACUACUGGAAACGGUAGCUAAUACCGCAUAACGUCGCAAGACCAAAGAGGGGGACCUUCGGGCCUCUUGCCAUCGGAUGUGCCCAGAUGGGAUUAGCUAGUAGGUGGGGUAAAGGCUCACCUAGGCGACGAUCCCUAGCUGGUCUGAGAGGAUGACCAGCCACACUGGAACUGAGACACGGUCCAGACUCCUACGGGAGGCAGCAGUGGGGAAUAUUGCACAAUGGGCGCAAGCCUGAUGCAGCCAUGCCGCGUGUAUGAAGAAGGCCUUCGGGUUGUAAAGUACUUUCAGCGGGGAGGAAGGGAGUAAAGUUAAUACCUUUGCUCAUUGACGUUACCCGCAGAAGAAGCACCGGCUAACUCCGUGCCAGCAGCCGCGGUAAUACGGAGGGUGCAAGCGUUAAUCGGAAUUACUGGGCGUAAAGCGCACGCAGGCGGUUUGUUAAGUCAGAUGUGAAAUCCCCGGGCUCAACCUGGGAACUGCAUCUGAUACUGGCAAGCUUGAGUCUCGUAGAGGGGGGUAGAAUUCCAGGUGUAGCGGUGAAAUGCGUAGAGAUCUGGAGGAAUACCGGUGGCGAAGGCGGCCCCCUGGACGAAGACUGACGCUCAGGUGCGAAAGCGUGGGGAGCAAACAGGAUUAGAUACCCUGGUAGUCCACGCCGUAAACGAUGUCGACUUGGAGGUUGUGCCCUUGAGGCGUGGCUUCCGGAGCUAACGCGUUAAGUCGACCGCCUGGGGAGUACGGCCGCAAGGUUAAAACUCAAAUGAAUUGACGGGGGCCCGCACAAGCGGUGGAGCAUGUGGUUUAAUUCGAUGCAACGCGAAGAACCUUACCUGGUCUUGACAUCCACGGAAGUUUUCAGAGAUGAGAAUGUGCCUUCGGGAACCGUGAGACAGGUGCUGCAUGGCUGUCGUCAGCUCGUGUUGUGAAAUGUUGGGUUAAGUCCCGCAACGAGCGCAACCCUUGUCAUUAGUUGCCAGCAGUAAGAUGGGCACUCUAGUGAGACUGCCGGGGAUAACUCGUAGGAAGGUGGGGAUGACGUCAAAUCAUCAUGCCCCUUAUGAUUUGGGCUACACACGUGCUACAAUGGCGCAUACAAAGAGAAGCGACCUCGCGAGAGCAAGCGGACCUCAUAAAGUGCGUCGUAGUCCGGAUUGGAGUCUGCAACUCGACUCCAUGAAGUCGGAAUCGCUAGUAAUCGUGGAUCAGAAUGCCACGGUGAAUACGUUCCCGGGCCUUGUACACACCGCCCGUCACACCAUGGGAGUGGGUUGCAAAAGAAGUAGGUAGCUUAACCUUCGGGAGGGCGCUUACCACUUUGUGAUUCAUGACUGGGGUG